GAGGCAGGCUUUGCCUUUUCUGGUAGUUAAAGCUGCUGAAAGAACAAGCAGGAAUUCUUUGUGCUGCAGAAGGGCUGAGAUAUAAACCAGACUGCAGAAGUUGAUAUAUGAAGAGAGGGAAGACACUGCUGUUCAUGGACUAAACUUCAGCUACUGUUAAGUGAGAACGUGAGGAGAAUCUUUUGGGCAUCAUGGACGAUGACUUUGACCGCCGCAUGGAGCUGAGGAGGCAGAGGAGAGAGCAGAUGCGCCUUGAGGCUGAAAAGGUGGGUUACACCAAUGACGAUGAUGAUGAGGAAGCACGGGAGCGAAGGAGACGUGCAAGGGAGGAGAGAAAGAAGAUGAGGGACUUAGAGGAGUCUGGUACCACUGACGUGAUCGACACUAACAGCGCAGAGACCGAGUCCUCCUCCACCACCACCAGCACCAGCACCGGAGGUGCAGAUGAUGACCAGGCUUUGCUGGAGCGCCUUGCCAAGAGGGAGGAGCGCAGGCAGAAGCGAAUGAAGGAGGCCAUGGAGAGACAGAAGGAGUUUGACCCCACUGUUGGCACCACCAACGGCACAGACAGCAUGCUGGAGGAGCAGUCCUCUGUCAGCAGCGGCAGACAGCAACACACGGAGGAAGAGGAGGACAAGAAGGAGGAGGAGAAACCAGCUCAGGAGGUGGUGGCAGAGACUGACACAAACUCCUGGAGGAAAGAGGAAGAAGAUAAGAAGGAAGAAGAGAAGGCACCUGUCGAGGACUCAACAACACAAGCCACAAAAGAUGAGGAGGAGACUGAGGCUGCAGCAACAGAAGUAGAGGUUGAUGCAGGAAAGAAAGACGCUCAUGAGGAAGCUGCUCCUGAUGUCGACAACGAGGAAGAGGAAAGGAAGAAGAAAGAAGAAGAGGAGAGACAGCAAAAAGAGUUGGAAGAAAAGCAGAGGAUAGAAGAGGAGGAGAGGCAAAAAAGGGAAAUGGAGGAAAAGCUAAAGAGAGAGGAAGAAGAGAGGGAGCAGAAGGAGGAGGAGGAGAGGAAGAAGAGGGGAGAGGAGGAACAACAACAAAGGGAAAUGGAGGAGAGGCUGAGAAAGGAGGAGGAAGAAGAAAAACGGAAAAAAGAGAUGGAGGAAAAACUGAAAAAAGAGGAAGAGGAAAAACAGAAGAAGGAGAUGGAGGAGCGGCUGAAGAGGGAGGAGGAGGAGAAACAGAAGAAGGAGAUGGAAGAGAAGAAGAAGAAAGAGGAAGAGGACAAACGAAAGAAGGAAAUGGAGGAGAAGAAGAAAAAGGAGGAGGAGGAAAAGAAGAAGAAGAAAGAGCUGGAGGAGAAGAAGAAGAAAGAGGAGGAGGAGAGACGGAAAAAGGAGAUGGAGGAGAAGAAGAAAGAAGAGGAGGAGAAGCGGAAAAAGGAGGCUGAGGAGAGGAAGAAAAAAGAAGAAGAGGAUAAACGUAAAAAGAGAGAGGUGGAAGAAAAGAAGAAGAAAGAGGAGGAGGAGAAGCCAAGGAAAUUUGGUUUCAAGGAAAAGAAUGAACCAGCCAAACAGAAUGGAGCUUUCAUUGAGAAUAAGCUGAAGAAAACAGAGAAGACAUCAAGGGACAACGCUCCCUCCACUAAGGCAGACGACCUGGAGCGACAGGAGGCUGAACGCAAGCUGCAGGAGCUGAAGCGCCGACGGAACGACGCAGAGAGUGAGGAGUUUGAGAAGAUGAAGCAGAAGCAGCAGGAUGCAGAGGCCGAGCUGGAGGAGCUGAAGAGGAAGAGAGAGGAGAGGAGGAAGAUCCUGGAGGAGGAGGAGAAGCAGAAGAAACAGGAGCUGGAGGAAAAGAAAGCCAAAGAACAGGAGGAGAGGAAGAGGAUGAGGGAGGAGAUAGAGAAGAGGAGGGCGGAGGCUGCAGAGAAGAAGAAACAGAAGGAGGAAGACACCACAAAACCUGCCUUUGCUAUCAGUCCCAAAGGCUCCUCCAAGAUCGGGGAGAAGGCAGAAUUCCUGAACAAAUCAGCCCAGAAAAACACUGCAGCCAGAGUGUCACACACUCCAAUUGUUUCCAAGAUAGGCAACAGACUGGAACAGUACGCGUCUGCCAUCCAGGGAAACAAAGAAGCCAAGUCCCCCAAGUCUCCAAUGGCAGAUAUUCCUACAGGAGGCACCCGCAGCAUCAAAAGCAUGUGGGAAAAAGGCAAUGUCGGCGGCUCCUCUGAAAGUCCAUCCCCUGUCAACAAGGAACUGGCUGGUAUCAAAGGAGGUGUGGCUGGACGUGUCAACAGUUGGAUGGCAAAGCCUCCAGAGGCAGAGAAGACGACACCGGCACCUGCACCAGCAGCAGCAGCAGCAUCACCAGCAGCAAAGCCAGCAGAUGUGAAACCAGGCGAUGUUGGUAACAAGCGUGGCAUGUGGGAAACCAAGAAGGGCUCUACACCUGCCAAGUCUACCUAAUAGAUGGGUGAAAGAGGUGCCAGUUGGGGUAAAGAGCAAGUUUGUCACAAAUGCAGGCGUAAGACCGUAACCACUGACAUUACCUGACCAAACACAAGGCUCUGCUGCUGUAUGUGCAUUCAUUUCCCUUCAACACACCUGUGUUUUGCGAGACAUUCACACCAGAAAGAGGAAAAGUCGAGGGACCGAGAUGAGUGACGUUUAAGGAUUCCAGAAUCAAAGUUUUCCAGCUUUAUUUUUAUGAGUAACUUUUGCACUUUUCUGCUCAUUUGAUAGUAAAAAGAUAUUGAUGUGUAUCCAUCAGACUUGACUUGAUCUUUUUUUUAAUUAAGAAAUUCAAAGAUGUCAUACCUUAUAAGGGUUUUCAGGGUAAAGUACCACAUGUUAAAUGAUUAAUAGUUAAUAUAGCAGAUUAUGUAGUAUCCAUCUGGUUAGUCCUCGAUUUCUUCUUCCAUUCACAAAGUUGAAAUAAAAGCUUUAGCAAACUUUCCGAUGGCUGUCAGGAUGCUUAAAUGUUAUAUUGCUCUCAAGCCACACUGACAUGUCUACUCUUCUUGUGACGUUAUGGUCAUAUAUACCCAAUAAUAAGCAUUUGUGUUUUAUUGUCAUACACACGCACUGCUUUUUGGGAUGAUAGUCACAGUUUUGACUCCAGGCCUGUACAUAUCUAAUUUGUUUCUUAAAUUGGCACCACUUCCUCAUGAAGGACUCUUUAAAUAAGGUUUAUAAACAGUAAAUAAUGAAUUAUUUACUGUUGCUCUAUAGAUCUGUUCUAAGUCAUUAAGUUGUGAGGAAUCUCUUUGGCUGGUGUUUUUGCUGAUAAGAGACCCCUUAUUAAGGAUUUAUAAGUUGUAACAAUAGGUGUUGCCAAGGGAUGGCAAAGUCAGGUGGUCAGUCACCAUUUGGAAUACAAGAAUCUCAACAUCUGCUCAAGAGAAUGUUACAUUUUAUUCAGACAUUCAUGAUUCCCAGAGGAUGAAGCCUGCACACCUUGGUGAUCCCCUGAGUUUUCCUCUGGUGCCACCAUGAGGUUGAUAUUUGGGGUUCUGAGUGAAAUGCAUCAACAGUUAUUGGAUGAAUAGCCAUGAUAUUUGUUACAGACACUCUAGUCCUUCUCAGGAUGAUUUGAAGUAACUCUGGUGAUCCCCUAACUUCUCAUCUAGUGCCGUCCAGCAUUGUCCAACACUUUGAUUUAUGAGCAAAUGCCUAAAACUAAUCACAUUCCCAUCAUCCUCACCUGCACUUUGUUGCUAAUUAGCUAAUGUUAGCAUGUUAACAAGCUAAAAUGAGAUGAGUUUCAUAACAGCAUUAGAACCAAACACCAGCCAAAGGUGUUUAUUACAAGACAUCAGUAAAUGACUUGUUAACUACUAAUAAAGCCAUUGGUUUCCUUACACAAGAGUCCUUAGACCUGAAGAUAAUAUCAAUGGUACAGCCCAUGACCGAUCAACAUUUCUGUCAACAACACCUGGGUGUGUUACAUUUUUUGACUUCUGACAGUUUAAAAAUCACAUUGUUUUGUAAUAUAAGCACAAGAGAGAGUAAAGUAAAUGUGUGUGCAAGCGCUUAUCCAGUGCAACAGCUAUUCAGUGACCAAAUGCAGUUGUGUUUAACAAGCUGGUAACAGUCUGACUCAUUGCUUAUGUAUCAUCAGUUUACAUGCCACUAUACAGUAUCUUUGCAGUUUUGUUUGCAUUGCAGCAGCAGUAAAGACUGUUGGCUCUUGUUUUGAUGAUGCCUGUAAUUAACUUUAAAUUGUAGCCUGUUUUUAUCAGUCAGUGCACAUGAUGAGUUGAAUCCUGCCAAAAUAUAUUGUGAGUCUUUCAGUAUUGUUGUAGUGGACUGCUCUGUUUGAGUGUUUGAAAUUACUGUUUAUGCUUGCUUCAGCAAUAAAAAAAAAAGAGAGAAAAAAAGA